rnacentral:lncRNA from 1 species
AAUGACAAGAAUAAUUUAUUGAGAACUCCAUGUAGUCAGGAGUAAGACGUUUCUGCCUCCAAAUCCCAGUAACAUGCCGAUAAACCAUUCAUAAAUUUUAAGUAGCACCAUGCAAAUUAUCUGGAAAGAAAAUACAACAAACAUAAGAAAAUUCUCGCCAACCCCACCGGCAAUAAAGUGAGACCAACAACCACUUAGAUUAGGAGUAGCAUGCUCGAGCCAGGUAGCACGUGAACCAGUAACACUGGUACUAAUUCAUCUAUAAAAAUUGGGACUAAUUCAUCUAUAAAAAUAUGCAAACAGGUCAAGAAUACAAAACCAGUUAAAUAAAGAUCAAGAUUACUGCUAGUGUUGUGAACAAGUUCAGUGAUUUUCCCAUUCUCAACCUCAGGGCUGACGCGUAUGAAUUUCCAUUGGAUACAAAAGCUAAUACUAUGGUUUUUUAGGUUUCCAUCUCUAUCUUUUCAAUACAAAGGCGAAAACGAGUAAAAUCCUCAUGGUCGAUAGCUUCUUCAGAAGAUGCUCUCUCUAGAGAGAUGAUAACAUCAUAAGUAAAUAAGUAAACUUGAUAAAAGCACAACUCCUAGAAUACAACUCAACUUUAUCCAUAGUAUCUGACUACAUGUGCAUUGAGUUCCACAUGAGAGGCCAUCUUCUGAAUUCUCAACCUCGUGGUCGGUCUAGUGAUUUCCAAUGUUUGGAAAGGCUGUAAGAGGGAGAAUAUUUCUUACAUGUGUAUGCCAGAUUCAUGAAUGCAACGCCAAUGCUUCUGACCCAUUGACCCCUGUCGACUUGCCUUCGAGCAACCUGCACAAAAGGAAAGUGGCAAAGUCAACAUACAUACAACUAUAAUUAAGAGCAUAGUUGUUCUGUCCGAGUGAAGGUCUGGAAAAACUCCUCAACCUAGGAACACAAUUUUUACAUAUAAUGCUUGUUAUUUGAGAAAGUUUUCUUACAUCUUAUUUGAGAAAGUACGAUUACUAAUAUGAAUUAGCAAUUUUCCUAACAAAAUAAUGAAAUUGCUUUGUACAGUUGGAAGUGCACAACUUCACACAAAAAAGUAGAGGAAGUUGAAUCAGAUGGGAAAGGAAGGCAGUUUGCGCCUUUAACAAGACACCUCCCCAUGGGAAAAGGGACAGGAGCAUGGAUGGCAACCACAACAUCACUCCCUGCAAGCUGCCGACAUGGGAGCCGGCGCUGCUGCGCCUGCAUCGCCAUUUAGCUACCUCUCUCUGCAUCUCCAAUUCCUCCCCAUGUCCAAGUGGAGUAGUGGUGGGCAUCGUACCUAUGGACCGGGCGGGGACUUGCCAGGUUGUCGUCUCUUUUGUAGUCUUGUUCAUCGGGCGAGUGGAUGGUGUCGCGAAAGCAGGACAGAGCCGAUCGUCUCUGAGAAGGAAUAUUCACCUAGGGAUUUACGACAUCUUUGGAGUGAAGCGCCAAAGAAGAUGUGGUUUAGAGUUAGUGGCUAUACAGAAAUAUGUCCGAAAAGACUGGAUAUAGAUUCUGGUAAUAAACUUGCAAUGCACCAAUAUUUAGCUUCAGGGUACCUAAGGUAUGAAUUUUGAUGUGCAGGGACGUGCAGAUAUCCUCUUUCACUCACAUUUAAAAAAACAUAGUUGGGCUGUUCUAAAUGUCAAAUUGAUCGUCGCGCUUAAGAUCUAGGGUCUGGCUACCCAGAUUGAUGAUCAUUCUCUGUUGACACUCCAGCCUGAGGCAAGUCCAAUGAAGGGUCGAUGCUUCAAGCCCGUUCAAAUUCCUUGUAUUGUCAAUUACCUGUCACCUAAUUGUCUAUAAAUUUAAAGAUCAAGCUAUUAGUUACCUUCCAGUUAGUACAAAAGAAACUAAGCAGACAACCAACUACGACACUAACACUAAUAUCUUUCC